rnacentral:lncRNA from 1 species
AAAAAAAACAUGAUUGACCGAAGCGGUUGAGUUUUCGCGACUAGAAGAUAUACGAUUGUUGCUUUACAAAGGUUAUAUUAUUUUUCCUAGCAUUCCAAUACUCGACCACAGGAAAAACAAUAAAAAAUCAAAACCCAAAACUCAAUCUUUAACCAAUUUCAGUACCCCACUUGAAUGUAGUCACAAAAUUCCACCUCUAAAUACGGUGUUACUGCAAAAAGAAGACUCACAUAGAGGAAUCAAAUAUACACGUUCAUAAAACAUAGAGAAUUCAAGCUUUCCAAUUUCAGUGGUUCAUAGCUAGAGAAGAAUGGGUCUAUAGAAGCAACUAGAGGAAGUACCUGAACGAAGUGGUUCGAGUAGUGUGAAGUCGCAGUGGUGUUGCAAUGGGACAACACAACGACGAUGCAAUGGGAUGGCGCAACAAUGAGCAGAGGGAUGGUGAUGAGUGCACUGUAUAGGAGCAGGUGUGGGAUGCGGGGUUUGCGUUUAGGGUUGGUGAAGAGAGAAGAAAAGUGAAAAUGCACGGAUAAAUUGUGGGAGUCGUAAAAAUAUAAACUG